rnacentral:sRNA from 1 species
UUCGCGCAAAGGAUAGUAGCGGCAUCCUUUUUUGUGUUUGAAGAGCUCGUUUAUAAAUGAAUUUGGUGUUUGAUUCUUAGUGUUUCCUUUGAAAAGGAUACGGUUUUUAAACAAAAAAGAUACAGCGGAUAGCCUGGUUUAUG